CUUGAGCGUGCGCACCUUUCUCGAGAUGGAAACAGUUUAUUCUUAUCGUUGAAAUUCAAUAGAACACCAAUCUUCUUCUCGUUAACAUCUUUAUAUAUUACAUUGUGAAUACCGAACAGAUUUGUUUCAGUUUUAUAUGACUUUUAACUGAUUAUGCCAGAAUUAAACCUCGAAUAUAGUCAACGAUUCAUAUUCCAAGCACCUGUGUAUAUAUUCUUCGCAUAUAUCUGCCAUUUCAAAUGUUUCAAUUGAAAGAUUCAAUGUUAAUUUGCGCUGCGAUAUCAACAUCACAAUGGAACUUUUCAAUAAUCACUCAUAUCGAAAAAUUUUACAAACUGUUCCAUUUACGAAAAAGAACAUCGAAUGGAAAUUGUAUUUAUGAUUUAUCUUUCAUCAUCUAUGACUUUAUGUAGUUGCCAGAUUUAAUAAUCUUGCUUUGCAGAUUACAUCUUCGAUUGAAACAAUGCUAGAAAUUGAUGAAGAUAAUUCAGUUAAUGCGAUAAUUAAUAGAACUGUAUUCUCUUUAAUGCAUUAUUAAAUUGGAAUUCGAAGAAUAUCUAUAUUUCGAUUAAAUUGGAAAGAAAAGAAACAUGAGGAAUUAAAUAUGAGAGAUGCUAAUAUUCGCAUACAUUCAGGAAAGCCGAGAACGCGAAUUAUGUAACUGAAAAACGGCCAAAUACUUUAAUAUUAGAAGAGAUUUUUAUUAAACGAAUUGUAAACUUAUCUUUAAGAUAAUUUGAUUUGUAAUCUUUUAUGAAUUGCAAUUAUUUUUUGUUAUAUUUGUGUAACUUUCAUUUUCAGAUAAAAUAAAAAAGCUAACUCUAAAA